GACGAACGCUGGCGGCGUGCUUAACACAUGCAAGUCGAACGGAAAGGCCCUGCUUUUGUGGGGUGCUCGAGUGGCGAACGGGUGAGUAGCACGUGAGUAACCUGCCCUUGACUUUGGGAUAACUUCAGGAAACUGGGGCUAAUACCGGAUAGGAGCUCCUGCUGCAUGGUGGGGGUUGGAAAGUUUCGGCGGUUGGGGAUGGACUCGCGGCUUAUCAGCUUGUUGGUGGGGUAGUGGCUUACCAAGGCUUUGACGGGUAGCCGGCCUGAGAGGGUGACCGGCCACAUUGGGACUGAGUUACGGCCCAGACUCCUACGGGAGGCAGCAGUGGGGAAUAUUGCACAAUGGGCGGAAGCCUGAUGCAGCAACGCCGCGUGCGGGAUGACGGCCUUCGGGUUGUAAACCGCUUUCGCCUGUGACGAAGCGUGAGUGACGGUAAUGGGUAAAGAAGCACCGGCUAACUACGUG
rnacentral:rRNA from 1 species